rnacentral:rRNA from 1 species
AUGCGCAAGGCGAGGCCGCCGCAGCCCCAGCCGCAGCCGUCGCAGCAGUCGCCGGAGAUCCGGUACCGCGGCGUGCGGAAGCGCCCCUCGGGCCGCUACGCCGCCGAGAUCCGGGACCCCGCCAAGAAGACGCCGAUCUGGCUCGGCACCUUCGACUGCGCCGAGGACGCCGCCCGCGCCUACGACUCCGCCGCCCGAUCCCUCCGCGGGCCCACCGCCCGCACCAACUUCCCGCCCUCCUCCGCCACGCAGCCGCCGCCGAGGCCCCCUCCCCCCGCGGCCGCGGCCGCGGCCGCCACGUCCAGCCAGAGCAGCACCGUCGAGUCCUGGAGCGGCGGCGGGCCCCGCGCCCCCGCCAGGGCCCGCAGCGCCGCCCGAGCGGGCACGGCCAAGGAGGGGGAGGAGGACUGCCGCAGCUACUGCGGCUCCUCGUCCUCCGUCCUCCUCGAGGAGGGCGCGGACGACGCGGCCGCCUCCCGCUCCCCGCUGCCCUUCGAUCUGAACAUGCCGCCCCCGCAGGAGGGGGCGCUUGACGCCGAGGCCGAUCAGAUGACCUGCCGGUACGACACGCUGCUCCGCCUCUAG